UACGGAGGGUGCGAGCGUUAAUCGGAAUUACUGGGCGUAAAGCGCACGUAGGUGGUUGGGUAAGUCGGAUGUGAAAGCCCUGGGCUUAACCUGGGAACUGCAUUCGAUACUGCCCGACUAGAGUAUGGGAGAGGGAAGCGGAAUUUCCGGUGUAGCGGUGAAAUGCGUAGAUAUCGGAAGGAACACCAAUGGCGAAGGCAGCUUCCUGGCCCAAUACUGACACUCAGGUGCGAAAGCGUGGGGAUCAAACAGG
rnacentral:rRNA from 1 species